UUGGUUAUCUAAUGAGAAGGCAACACAUG
rnacentral:piRNA from 1 species